CCUGGCGGCCUUAGCGCGGUGGUCCCACCUGACCCCAUGCCGAACUCAGAAGUGAAACGCCGUAGCGC
rnacentral:rRNA from 2 species